rnacentral:rRNA from 1 species
CACUCCUGCGGGAGGCAACAGUGGGGAAUAUUGGACAAUGGGCGCAAGCCUGAUCCAGCCAUGCCGCGUGAGUGAUGAAGGCCCUAGGGUUGUAAAGCUCUUUCACCGGUGAAGAUAAUGACGGUAACCGGAGAAGAAGCCCCGGCUAACUUCGUGCCAGCAGCCGCGGUAAUACGAAGGGGGCUAGCGUUGUUCGGAUUUACUGGGCGUAAAGCGCACGUAGGCGGACUAUUAAGUCAGGGGUGAAAUCCCGGGGCUCAACCCCGGAACUGCCUUUGAUACUGGUAGUCUUGAGUUCGAGAGAGGUGAGUGGAAUUCCGAGUGUAGAGGUGAAAUUCGUAGAUAUUCGGAGGAACACCAGUGGCGAAGGCGGCUCACUGGCUCGAUACUGACGCUGAGGUGCGAAAGCGUGGGGAGCAAACAGGAUUAGAAACCCUUGUAGUCCCAUGAU